rnacentral:lncRNA from 1 species
CAACGAGCCUCAAGGUGGCCACCAAACCGCAGCCCCUGGCCCUUCCCAGGAGUAUCUGGCGGACUUACCGAAGAGCAGCGGCUUGAGGCUGAGGGUUCGGAUGAAGUGAUCCCUGUCGGUGACCAGCUGGACCUUACGCUCGUGCCCCACCUAAGGAAAAGGCGCACAGCGGGCAGCUGGGGCGCCAGACCGCGCUGCCCAAGAAGGGCCAAGUCGCCCCGGCCCGGAGAGCGACAGCAGGCGAGUGAGUGGGAGCGCGCGGGACCGACGCAGAGCAGCGCCGGGGGCAGCGUGGGGACCCGGGCUGAGCGCCGGUCCUCUCGGGCUCAGCCGUGCAGGGCCUGGAGCGCGGCGGGGCAGGGAGGUCCUCACCUUGAUGCCCUCCAGCCGGGUGAGGGGACCUAAGGUGGGCUCGGGCCCGGGGCCCUGGGCACGGUGUUGGGGCCCGGGAUCGCUGCUUUCGUCGCCGUUGCUGUAGUGCACGAAGAGCAGCAGCGCCAGCACGUUACCCAGGUACAGGUGCACGAACACCAUCAGCACCAGGAAGUAGGCGCGCGAGCAGAUGCCGCGGGGCUUGCACAGCGGACGCACCGGUGCGUCCUCGCCGUCGCCCAGCCCGGCCGCCGCCUGAGCCUGGCAGUGGUCUGGCGGCGCCCACUGCGGCCUCGAGGCCUCCUCGGCCGCCGCGGUCUCAGGCCGCUGGCCUGUCACCGCCGCUGCCGCCAUGGCACCCAGGUCGCGCGCGCGCCCAGGGGAGGGGCCGCGGGGGUGCCCGCGCUGCGCAGUCGCCCGGACAACGGCCGCCAGGCCCGCGAGCGCCGCGGUCACUAGGAGACGGUGCCUGGGGGUGCUGAGCCCGCCCGGAGCCGCCUGCGUCCGCGCCGGGCUCGGCCUUCCUGCGCCUUGAGCCCCAGCCCACGCUGGGGCUUCUCUUCCCAAGCUGGGUUGCCGUCGGGCAGAGCUGUACACUCUCCAAGUCAGAAGCCAAGGUCCCAAGCGUAGACGCGGACAAGAGCGGCACCAUUAAGGCAUACACUAGUGGGAGCUUCUCGGUGCCUGCGUGAAGACGCCCUCUUGCCUCCGGGAAAAGUAUCGUCUGCAUCUUCUUGCUCCAGGAGCGGGGGUGGGGAGCGCAGCGCGGAGGAGGCAGCGCUGAGAUGACUCAACAGUGCGGCAUUUGGGGGCGCCGCGGAGGCUGGGACUGCGUAAGCGGCGAUAGGGUAGGACCCACAGCCUCCUCGCAGGCAUUCUUGGAGCUCGGUUCCGCGGUCGGUCCGGAUCUCCCGGGAAGUCUCGCCGGAGUCAGGCAGGCCUUAGGAAGAAGCUGCCUGAUGUGCAAGGUUUCAUAGGCCGUCAGAGGGGGCAUCCUGGAGGAGCCCUGGCAUCAGGAAAGUGAGCCCCCCAUGGCAGCCCGCAGGAAUGAACCAGUGCUCAGGAAGAGAUCUCCCUGUUGUCCAGGCUGGUCAUGAACUCCCAGGGCUCAAGCAGUUCUCCAGUCUCAGCCUCCUGAAGUGCUGGGAUUAUAGGCAUGAGCCACCACGCCAGGCCCCUAACUCAUUUUAAAUGGCUGUGUAAUGUGGAUGAUGACAGCACCUACCUCAAGGGGCUGCUGUGAGGACUAAAUGGGUAUGUUCUCAGUUAACAUUAGUGUGAUUGUCUUUGUGAGGUCCCACUUCUAUCACUUUCUAUCCCGCCCCAAGCAGAGCCUGUUAUACAGGAGAUGCUCAGAUGCUUAUUGUGUAAACCCCUGUGGGCUACAUGGAAAAUCCCUCCUGACUUCGCUAGAAGGUGCUAUCUUCUCUCUUUUUAGGAUUGCCAAAGGUAUGGUGCCAAGGCCAUAGUACCCUGGCCCCACUGAUCUGCAGGAGUGGCCCUGAGCAUGGGUGGUCCUUUGCUCCUGGCCUUGCUGCUCCAGUAAAAACAUUCACUAGUGGGCUGGGUGUAGUGGCUCAUGCCUGUAAUCCCAGCACUUUGGGAGGCCAAGGCAGGAAGAUAGCUUGAACUCAGGAGUUUGAGACCAGUCUGGGCAACAUGGCAAGACCCUGUCUCUACAAAAAAAAAUACAAAAAUUAGGGGAGCAUGGUGGCACACACUGGUCCCAGCUACUCGGGGAGCUGAAGCAGAAUAAUUGAGCCCAGGAGUGGAGGCCGCAGUGAGCAGAGAUCAUGCCACUGUACUCCAGUCUGGGCGAUAGAGCGAGACUGUCUCAAAACAAAAAACAAACAUUCACUAGUGAUCAAUUCCUUCUAUGUUCCCCAUGGAUUGGAAGCUCCUGGAAGCUAGAGCACGUGAAUCACUUGCAUACCACUGUAUGCCCAGGUGCCAAGCGUGGGGCUUGGCACACCUGAGGUCCAGAGGAAGAGCUGCGGAGUUCAGACUGGCAAUGUAUGAGGCCUCUUCUAGCCACAGGUGCCCUGUGCAUGUUGCCCACAGCUAUGGAGCCUCCACUCUACCCCUGAGCUACUUAUCACUGACACUACUGCCACUUCUGACACCACAAAUGUGGACCCCCUUAAUCAAUCCAAACCUCAUUUCCUGUCCUUCACCCUUGAGAUUAGACUCCACACUUGUUUCUGCCCCAAGUUGUCUCUUCAUAACCCUUAGGGCUCCCGUGAAGCUGGAGUUCACCCUGCCAUAUUCCACAGCCCUACAUUCCCAUGUCUGCUUUGGAGGGGUCCGGAGGUCUCAGAAUGGGGGGGUUGGGACAUUUAUAUCAGUACUCUACCACAACCCUGGGAUCUAUCUGUGGUGGGGAAUGAUUCAGCCUGUACUGAGGGAGAGGAGAGCGGAAAACUGGCAGGAUUUUCUACUUCAUUCCACAGGGAUCACUUACAGGUGCCCUCUCCCCCAACAGCCAGAAAGGGAAAACAGAGCCGAGUUUGGCCACUGGGGCCUCCACAGCCCUCUGGAAGAAGGGGCUGACUGAUAGGAAGGCACUCCUCUGGUGUUCACUGGCCAGACCCCUGUGGGCUCAGAAGACUACCUAGACCCCAUGAAGAAAGACUCUAGACACAUUUUUAUAAUCAGAAACUUACAGUUUAUUGUGAAUAAACCACUCAACUUUGAGCAGAUGACAUUGCCUCAAUUAACUUUUUCGUUGAAGAAAAACAAAGAUAUAUGGUAAAUUCAUGAAAAUACUGUGUCCUUUCUCUUCCACCCUUUGUAGGGCAGAAAAAUUCUGCCUGACCUUUCCCAUCUUCCUGAUGAUGUUAACAAACGACAGCCACUGAGGGCACAGGAGGGGGCUCUACACAGGCCAAGAGCUACAGGCUACAGUCUGAGCACAGAAAACCCUCCAGCUCCAGCAUCCAGGGCCACAGCUGGACACAAGUACAGAACCUGGCAGCCCUGCAGCCCAGACAAUGCCCAGGGUGUGAUUUAGGGUGCAGAGCUGCAACUCAGAUCCUGUGCCAUGGCAGUAUCACAGGAAGGACUUGACGGAGAGGUGAAGGCUCCAGACGCCAGGAUAUUUAUUCCCUGUGCCAAUACAGCAUUCACACCUGACCUCCAGGUCCUGCAGCAGUCUCUCCCUUGCUGGGGACAACACAGGAAGAGACAAAACCUGAGGAAGGAAAAAGGGAACCUGCAACCAGCCAUGGACCUCAUGAUCCCAUGAGUCACAGCUAUCCUCUGUCUUUAAGAAUGACUGUUUUAUAGCUUACAUGGUACCUGGGAAAUUGCUGACUUGCAGCUGAAAUGUAUGAAUACCAAAGAAUUUCUAUCACAAUAUUCACAGAUCUCUGUAUCAGCUCUACUUGGAGGUCAAGCAGGCUUGGGAGAGUAUAGACUGCUCUGCCUGCCCUAGAGUGGAAGCAUUGAACAAAGCCACAAAAACCCCAGAGAUCACAGAUCUAACUUUUCAAUGGCCCACAGGACCAGGUUCAGGACAGGUAGGACACCAGGCAAACCACUUGUUCCCUUGCGCUUCAUUGUGCAAAAGCUGGUCUGUUCCUCUGGCCAGACCCUCCUUAGUACAGGAUCUCGGACCACAAACCAAGGAGUCUCGUGGCCUUGGAUUCCCAGACCCUAGGAUGGUAUCCCUCUGACAGCUGGAACCAGGCAAGGGGGAACACACCUCAGCCUCAGAGCAGCCUCUGGACACUCUCCAGGUAACAUGAAAAUAACUUGUGCAAACACAGCCCCCAUGCCAGAAAGUCCAGUGCCCUAGGAAGGGCUAUCCUGAAUUCUGACCCUGAUGUUUGCCAAAGGAGAAUGCAGCAAGACAGUGUCAGGUUUGGCCAAAUGUGACCCUGCUCAGAGCUAUACCACUUGAAUACUGGCACAAAAGAAAGGACCAAGGUAAAGCAAAUUUAUUUGGGAGGAACAAUUCCCUUCAAAAGUAGAUCCCUAUCUUUAGGAGACAAAAGGCAACACUGUGAUGAACCCACACCCCCUAGUUUGGGGGGCCACAGGCCCAACCCCAUUCUGCUGUGGGCUCUAGCCUCAGUAGCCAGAUCCAGGUAAACCUCAGUUUCAAGAAUAAAGGUGAGCCACAGACAUGCAGCACCACCAGAGACAACAACACCCCGUGGCAAGAAGACCAUGUUCUGGACUGUCUCCGUACUGCCACGGUAAGGCAGGAGGCAUGCUGUGACCCCUUGUGCUCCAUGCCCAUUGCACAGGCCAGUUCAAUUCCCUACCAUCUGCCACCCAUGCUCUUCUUUGGGACUACAACUCUGGCCAAACGUGAAUAUGGAAAGCAGAGGCCCAGGGCCCUCUUGCAGUACAGACAUUUUGAGGUGGGUAGGCAGCAUAUGUUACAUUCUAAGUAAAACAGCUAGAGGGUAAAACACUCCAAUGCCAAUUUAUUUUCAAAAAGGGCUCUGUGUUAUCCUAUAGUUUGCCUUUUUUUUUUUUUUGUAUAAUUGUACAACCUUUGAAAGUUACAUAAGUUGUAAUGAUCUAAUACUAUUAAUAGCCAUUCAGAAAACACUUUCCCUCCCUCCCAACAACCAUCCAGGGGGAAAUAAAAGUCCUGAAAAGAGGCCAGUUCAACAUGGCCUCUACCCUGGUAGAAACAAAAAGUGAAAAGAGAAGAAAACAGAAAUCAACUAAGAGGUGUUGCCAGUGUCUCUCAGGAGUGGGGCCCUGGCUGUUGCCUGGGGUCAUGAAAGGCAGAGCCUGCAGCAUGCAGUAUGGCAGCCGGGAGACCUUGCAGCCACAUCUUCCUCACCCCGGCACAUCCACAUCCCAACUUAGGUGUCAUGGAAAUCUUUCAGCAGGGUUCUCCUCCGCUGCUCCGCUAUAUGCAUCUGGUUCUCCAAGUCCUGCAUCAGAGAAACAAGGUGUGUGCUUGCAUGGCCCAGGCCUGGGAGCAAGGAGUAGCCAAAGCCACAAACACCCUCCAGGACCUCCAAGGAGUCAAAAACACUGCCCUUCCCAUUCUUAGCAGCAGCUACCAGUGCACAAGCCAACAACGCUGUCACCUAUUACCAUGCCAGUCCUCUACCUGCAAUAUAGAAUCCAAGAGGACAGUAGGCACUUACCCCUCUGUCAUAGCUGUCUGCACGCUCCACUUUCCAUGAGAGGUUUUCGAUCUCAGCCUCCAGCUGAGCCUGCUGGUAUUCAAACUGUAUAGGCAGAGCAGGAGGGUCAAAAGGUGAGUGGGCUGUGGCUGGGGCAGGGCCUGUACACGGGGGUGGGCACAUGCAGCACCUCAGGCUCACAGGAACUACAGACAAUCCUGAUACUGUCCUCAGAAAGUAGUGUUAUUCCCUGUGCCCAGAGCCAGAAUCCAAACAAAAGGCUAUCCAAACAGCAAGGCCACAUUCACCCUCGACCCUCAAAAGGUCCACUCCACCCUCCACACUCCCAAAGGCAGGCAAAGAAUUUAAGCCACUAAAGAGAACACUCCCAACAUGAAAGGGAAUGGAUGCUGUAAAAAAUAAGUCAAAUGAAUAUUCUCAGACACUA